rnacentral:rRNA from 1 species
AGAGUUUGAUCCUGGCUCAAGAUGAACGCUUGUGGCGCGCCUAACACAUGCAAGUCGAACGGCACCCCUCUCCGGAGGGAAGCGAGUGGCGAACGGCUGAGUAACACGUGGAGAACCUGCCCCCUCCCCCGGGAUAGCCGCCCGAAAGGACGGGUAAUACCGGAUACCCCGGGGUGCCGCAUGGCACCCCGGCUAAAGCCCCGACGGGAGGGGAUGGCUCCGCGGCCCAUCAGGUAGACGGGGGGGUGACGGCCCACCGUGCCGACAACGGGUAGCCGGGUUGAGAGACCGACCGGCCAGAUUGGGACUGAGACACGGCCCAGACUCCUACGGGAGGCAGCAGUGGGGAAUCUUGCGCAAUGGGGGGAACCCUGACGCAGCGACGCCGAGAACGGGACGGAGGCCUUCGGGUCGUAAACCGCUUUCAGCAGGGAAGAGUCAAGACUGUACCUGCAGAAGAAGCCCCGGCUAACUACGUGCCAGCAGCCGCGGUAAUACGUAGGGGGCGAGCGUUAUCCGGAUUCAUUGGGCGUAAAGCGCGCGUAGGCGGCCCGGCAGGCCGGGGGUCGAAGCGGGGGGCUCAACCCCCCGAAGCCCCCGGAACCUCCGCGGCUUGGGUCCGGUAGGGGAGGGUGGAACACCCGGUGUAGCGGUGGAAUGCGCAGAUAUCGGGUGGAACACCGGUGGCGAAGGCGGCCCUCUGGGCCGAGACCGACGCUGAGGCGCGAAAGCUGGGGGAGCGAAAAGGGAUUAGAUACCCUGGUAGUCCCAGCCGUAAACGAUGGACGCUAGGUGUGGGGGGACGAUCCCCCCGUGCCGCAGCCAACGCAUUAAGCGUCCCGCCUGGGGAGUACGGCCGCAAGGCUAAAACUCAAAGGAAUUGACGGGGGCCCGCACAAGCAGCGGAGCAUGUGGCUUAAUUCGAAGCAACGCGAAGAACCUUACCAGGGCUUGACAUAUGGGUGAAGCGGGGGAGACCCCGUGGCCGAGAGGAGCCCAUACAGGUGGUGCAUGGCUGUCGUCAGCUCGUGUCGUGAGAUGUUGGGUUAAGUCCCGCAACGAGCGCAACCCCCGCCGCGUGUUGCCAUCGGGUGAUGCCGGGAACCCACGCGGGACCGCCGCCGUCAAGGCGGAGGAGGGCGGGGACGACGUCAAGUCAUCAUGCCCCUUAUGCCCUGGGCUGCACACGUGCUACAAUGGCCGGUACAGAGGGAUGCCACCCCGCGAGGGGGAGCGGAUCCCGGAAAGCCGGCCCCAGUUCGGAUUGGGGGCUGCAACCCGCCCCCAUGAAGUCGGAGUUGCUAGUAAUCGCGGAUCAGCAUGCCGCGGUGAAUGCGUUCCCGGGCCUUGCACA